rnacentral:rRNA from 1 species
AUUGAACGCUGGCGGCAUGCUUUACACAUGCAAGUCGAACGGCAGCACGGGCUUCGGCCUGGUGGCGAGUGGCGAACGGGUGAGUAAUAUAUCGGAACGUACCCAGAAGUGGGGGAUAACGUAGCGAAAGUUACGCUAAUACCGCAUACGAUCUAUGGAUGAAAGCAGGGGACCGCAAGGCCUUGUGCUCCUGGAGCGGCCGAUAUCUGAUUAGCUAGUUGGUGAGGUAAAGGCUCACCAAGGCGACGAUCAGUAGCUGGUCUGAGAGGACGACCAGCCACACUUGAACUGAGACACGGUCCAGACUCCUAAGGGAGGCAGCAGUUGGGAAAUUUUGACAAUGGGCGCAAGCCUGAUCCAGCAAUGCCGCGUGAGUUAAGAAGGCCUUCGGGUUUGAAAGCUCUUUUGUCAGGGAAGAAACGGUAGAGGCUAAUAUCCUUUGCUAAUGACGGUACCUGAAGAAUAAGCACCGGCUAACUACGUG